AUACCUGCCUCCGGCAAAAGCACAGAUGCUGCUGCUGAGGUCCUGAGUGGGGAAGGAGCUCUCCAAGAGUCCUAGCUAGUAGGAGGCAGAGUUGGAGCCUGGACCAGGGACUUCUGACUCCCAUUCAAGUACUUCAUCCAGCAUAUCACUGUGAAUAUUGGAUUAUCAAGAGAUUAGAAAUGCUGCUCCUAGGAUUGGCAGGAGUGGGGAGAAAUGGCGUCUUCAUAAACGAAUGCUCUGCUGCUCGCUGACUCUUGACCACCCACAUAGACGUCCCGUGCCUCACUCUCCUCGUCUGUAAAAUGGAUGACGAGAGGACCCACGUUGCAGUGAAAGGGGAUUCCAGGCCACCCUGUGAAAUCACCGUGCGCGGGCAGACAGAAGUCUUGGUGAGGGGCUGGUGUGGAGCAGGAUGCCGCGGGAAUGCCACCAUCGGAUGCGUCAGGGUGGGAAGAAACAAAGGCUGACAACUGCAGCACCAGAUAUGAUGUCCAGAGCUGCAGCAGCCAUCCUGAAACUAUGUGGCACCAGGCUAACACUGAGGAUGGUGGGCAGAGAGAUGGAAAAACUUGGGUCCUUGGUGACCUCAUCAAGCUGCUAAAUCACCUGAAGCUGCCUAUGCCCAGGAUCCUUGCCAGAGCCUCGGGAGGAGAGACCCCAGGUGCACUGGCAGGAGGGCCCAGCGCUCUGUCUGGAAGAACAGCGGGGCUCCUGUCUGAGGCUGCCCUUCGCCUCCCAGUGUCUCGAGGACAUGGCUCCAGCAGCUCCAGGCUGUCCUGCC
rnacentral:lncRNA from 1 species